rnacentral:rRNA from 1 species
UGAACGCUAGCGGCAGGCUUAACACAUGCAAGUCGAGGGGUAUAGGUUUCGGACCUAGAGACCGGCGCACGGUGCGUAACGCGUAUGCAAUCUACCUUUUGCAGAGGGAUAGCCCAGAGAAAUUUGGAUUAAUACCUCAUAGUAUAUGGACUUCGCAUGGAGACCAUAUUAAAGUUCCAACGGCAAAAGAUGAGCAUGCGUCCCAUUAGCUAGAUGGUAAGGUAACGGCUUACCAUGGCUACGAUGGGUAGGGGUCCUGAGAGGGAGAUCCCCCACACUGGUACUGAGACACGGACCAGACUCCUACGGGAGGCAGCAGUGAGGAAUAUUGGACAAUGGGCGCAAGCCUGAUCCAGCCAUGCCGCGUGCAGGAUGACGGUCCUAUGGAUUGUAAACUGCUUUACACAGGAAGAAACAACGCUACGUGUAGCGUCUUGACGGUACUGUGAGAAUAAGGAUCGGCUAACUCCGUG